GAUGAACGCUGGCGGCGUGCCUAAUACAUGCAAGUCGAGCGAACAGACGAGGAGCUUGCCCCUCUAACGUUAGCGGCGGACGGGUGAGUAACACGUGGAUAACCUACCUAUAAGACUGGGAUAACUUCGGGAAACCGGAGCUAAUACCGGAUAAUAUAUUGAACCGCAUGGUUCAAUAGUGAAAGACGGUUUUGCUGUCACUUAUAGAUGGAUCCGCGCCGCAUUAGCUAGUUGGUAAGGUAACAGCUUACCAAGGCAACGAUGCGUAGCCGACCUGAGAGGGUGAUCGGCCACACUGGAACUGAGACACGGUCCAGACUCCUACGGGAGGCAGCAGUAGGGAAUCUUCCGCAAUGGGCGAAAGCCUGACGGAGCAACGCCGCGUGAGUGAUGAAGGUCUUCGGAUCGUAAAACUCUGUUAUUAGGGAAGAACAAAUGUGUAAGUAACUAUGCACGUCUUGACGGUACCUAAUCAGAAAGCCACGGCGAACUACGU
rnacentral:rRNA from 1 species